rnacentral:rRNA from 1 species
AAUCAACGCUGGCGGCGUGCCUCAGACAUGCAAGUCGAACGAUUAAACUUCGUCUUCGGAGAAGAUAUAAAGUGGCGCACGGGUGAGUAACACGUAGGUAAUGUACCUUUGGGUGGGGAAUAACUUAGGGAAACGUUAAGCUAAUACCGCAUAAUGCAGCGGCUCCUUCGGGAGACAGUUGUUAAAAGAUUUAUCGCCUAAAGAGCAGCCUGCGGCAGAUUAGCUAGUUGGUAAGGUAACGCUACCAAGGCUACGAUCUGUAUCCGACCUGAGAGGGUGGUCGGACACACUGACACUGAAUAAC